UGGGGAAUUUUGGACAAUGGGGGCAACCCUGAUCCAGCCAUGCCGCGUGUGUGAAGAAGGCCUUCGGGUUGUAAAGCACUUUUGGCGGGAACGAAACGGUCUGUGCUAAUACCACGGACUAAUGACGGUACCCGCAGAAUAAGCACCGGCUAACUACGUGCCAGCAGCCGCGGUAAUACGUAGGGUGCAAGCGUUAAUCGGAAUUACUGGGCGUAAAGCGUGCGCGGGCGGUUUCGCAAGUCAGAUGUGAAAUCCCCGGGCUCAACCUGGGAACUGCAUUUGAAACUACGAGGCUUGAGUGUAGCAGAGGGGGUUGGAAUUCCGACGUGUAGCAGUGAAAUGCGUAGAGAUGUGGAGGAACACCGAUGGCGAAGGCAGCCCCCUGGGCUAACACUGACG
rnacentral:rRNA from 1 species